rnacentral:lncRNA from 1 species
GUUCUUGAUGGUUAUUAUCUACUCCUCCGACCUGGUUAAAGAUCCAGCUCUAUUUUUAGAGGUGAAAUACUUAUCUGAGAAGGAGGAGAGAGAGCAACAGAGUGACGUAUUUGCAGUGAUGCUGUUGACAUGCCUCGUGGUCUUUGGCUCUUCUUAGGCUCCCAGGAGACAUUUUGCACCUUAGGGCUUUAACGUCUCAGACGUUAAUCUCAAGUCCCUGCCUGUAGCAGACAGCAGCUAUGGAGAAGCGCAGAGACAAGAGGGAGAUGUAACAGCAUCAGUUCAAAGAGAUGCAAAAAGGUGCACAAGCGACAGUGGAACCAAGUCCAAAAACACUGCUGAGCUGGUGCCUUCAGGAAUUGCAUGCUGAAAUGCCAGCACUGAAGCUGAGUGGUAGUCAUGAUGGUGUUAAAUGAAUGGAAGAACAUUCUGUAGACAGAGCAUUUCGAAGAGGUGAGCACACCUUUAUGUGAAAGGAGUACCAACGCAUUGGAUUUUUUUUUUUUAAUGACUAACAAGUGUUGUGAUUCCAGUGUAAACACAUGAAAAGGUAACACUGUCUAUGGGAGGAAGGAAAACUGAUGCUGGAAGCAGUGAUGUAGGUAGCAGCAGCUGCUGAAGGGAGAGAAUGUGUGGUCCUGGUGAAAGGCAGCGUUGGGUAAUAGGAGAAACCGGAGUUGCUGGAUAUAAAACAAAUCUUGGUGAAGUCAAUAUGGCAAAAAAUGCAGUGCCAUGGAGAUAUGGCCUCCAUACCUGUGGGAAAGACAUCUAGCUCAACUCAAUUUUUGCUUAGUCUAGGCAAGUUGGCUCUGCUGAGG